GCCUGGGUGGCUCAGUCGAUUGAGCGUCUGACUUUAGCUCAGAGCAUGAUCUCGAGGUUCGUGAGUUCAAGCCCUGCAUCAGGCU
rnacentral:tRNA from 1 species